rnacentral:rRNA from 1 species
AUUGAACGCUGGCGGCAUGCCUUACACAUGCAAGUCGAACGGAGUGGCGGACGGGUGAGUAAUGCCUAGGAACCUGCCCAGUAGUGGGGGAUAACUUCCCGAAACCGGCGCUAAUACCGCAUACUAUCAGAUCCGCCUAGAUCGGAUUAGCUAGUUGGUGGGGUAACGGCCUACCAAGGCGACGAUCCGUAACUGGUUUGAGAGGACGAUCAGUCACACUGGGACUGAGACACGGUCCAGACUCCUACGGGAGGCAGCAGUGGGGAAUAUUGGACAAUGGGGGAAAGCCUGAUCCAGCCAUGCCGCGUGUGUGAAGAAGGUCUUCGGGUUGUAAAGCACUUUAGGUUGGGAAGCGGUACCAGCAGAAUAAGCACCGGCUAACUACGUGCCAGCAGCCGCGGUAAUUC